GUUCUCACACAACAGUACCAACACGAGGUACAUACCAUAACAACAUAUAAUAAUCACACAAUAACCCGGGUGCUUAGACUAGUCUUGCUAUCCACUUAGCCCAGACAUCGUCUCAAGCCUCGGAUCCACAAACUGACACCUAGACCGGUCCAGCUAUCCUAGCUCGGAAGCCGUCUCCGAUGUCAGGAACCUGCAUUAAAAAUUCGUUAACAAACAAUUAACCGUGACUCACAGUGAUUAAGCGAUGUGGCUCGACUCUUUGAUUCCAGAUGUUGACCAAACCCCUUUUAUCCCCUCCAAAUCUUCGUCUUGGUACCGUGAUGUUAAAUCCCAAAACCCAACCUCAAUGUCUUGAAUGAAUUGGUCUGGACUGAUCAGAACUCAGAAAGAACCUUCUUUCUCUUCUGGACAGUCUUUCAGAACUUUCCGGCAGUUUAUCGGUCUUCGAAAAAUGUCUAUACUUCUAAAGCACCUCACUUCUUUCUCUCUCUCUCUCUCUCUAAGCCACGUUUUGGAGUGUCCUUGGUGUGUCUGAAUGAGUAAAAAUGAACCAGGGUAGCUGGGUAUAGGCCUGGGACUUUUAUCCGAGGUCCGUAAGUUUUAUUAAUAAAUAUUUCAAAAAUAGUAAUACUUAUAUAUAAAAAUUAAUUUUAUUUAAUAUAUUUUCAUUUUUAUAAUAGUAUAUAUAAAUUUUAUGUAAUUUUUUAAUAUUAUACAUAGAAAUAAUUAAAAACAUUAUAUAUAUUUUUAUUUUUAAAUUAUUGUUAAUAUUUUAUAUAUAUUAAUAUUAUUUUUUAUUUAUAUUAAGGAUACAAAUCCAGAUCCGGAUAUCCGCCGGAUAUUACAAUUUUUACAAGGAUAUCCGACACUCGGAUAUCUGAGAACCCCAGAUCCGGAUAAGGAUAGUAAAAUUAUGGAUCCGCCGGAUAAGGAUCCGGAUUCGGAUACCUUAAAAUUGCCCGGAUAUCCAAUCCGUCCCAUGCCGGUAUAUAUAGAAGUUGCCGGCCAAUAAGAAUGAGCCACCCGAUCGCCUGUGUGUCGUCCUGUAUGCUUCCGGUCGCAUGCGUGGCGACACAUGGGAGUCCACAUGCCCUGUUGCAUGCUCUCUAGCCAUGCCAGAAGAGACCUCCACGUCCACUUGCCCUUCAGCAUGUCUGGUGUUCAUGCAUCGCGACACACGGACCUCUGCAUGUCGGUUCGCAUGCGCAGAUCGCAGGUAUUGCGACACCUCGUGCUUCUAUGUGUCAAGCUGCAUGGAAUUGCUUCAUGCACGUCUACACCUCCUUCUUGUGUUGAUACUGAGCAGGUUAAAUGGUUGACACCACGUCCUGAUCUCUUAGAUCAAGCCACCUUGAGCUUCUCGGUCGAUUUGGGCGAUUUCGGCCCUUCUGGUGAAUUUUCGUCCCACGAUCAAUCCCGAAUAUUUUUCCGCACCCGAUCUGAUGAGCUAAAUAUUUUUAAUAGAAUCCAGACUAACCUUAACCUUGAGGAUAAAAAUUUUCCGAGCUUUCGGUUUUCCCGAGAAAUUCCAUAAAACCGAAAUUCGGUUUUUUUUUUUGUUUUUUUUGUUUUUUUAAGAUGGGGUAUUACAGUAGUAAACACAUAAAAUUCAUUAAACUCAAGAAUUAAUGAAACAUUGACUUUUGAUUGACCGUGACACGUGUCAUCACCACAAAUUCCGAAUUAGUGACUGUGACACGUGUGAUCACCACAAACUCAAGAAUUAAGAACCAUCCAUGAAUUUAGUAUAAGCAGUAGUAGUAAUGUUAUAAAGUUUAGAGGUGAAUGUUUGGUCUCGACUGUGUUCUAAUUUGAUUGUUGAAGCCAUAUAUAUUAAGGCACUCUGAAAUCAUUAAAAGAACAAGUUAAUGUUAAGAUAUUUUUAUACCACAUGUUAAAAAAUGUUUUCCUAACGAUACGCAAAUGUCAAUAUAUAUGGCAUGUGAAUACAAGCGUGGCAGGCAAGUGCACAAUAAACUAUUAUCUCUAGAAAGAUAAAAACGAUAAACUAUUUAAAAAAGUUGUACAGAAAUUCUUAAGAUCUAAUCAGACGCGCGGAAAAAAAAUGUCAAGUUUGAUUCUCAUCGGAUGUAAUUGUUCCUACAACAUUAUGGCCAUUAAAUAACACUGAUUCACAAACUAUAUGUACGGAGAACAUUAGUUUCGCAGAUGCAUCCGGAGAAAAUCAACUAUCAAGGACAGGGAACCUUCUACGCCGAGAAGAGAAUAUGCUGCAACAUUUGACUUUUUUUCAAAAAACCUGAUCACAAAAACCUGAUCACAAUGGCUAAAUUUCUCAACAGAGCUGAAAAAUAAAAAUUCUUUAAAGUGAUUCUAAGCAUUCGAGAUUUUAUAUGUUCUGGGGAUGCAAAAUACAAUUUUUGAUUAUACCAAAAAAAAAAAUACAAUUUUUGAUUUUCUAGUUAUAACUGCUCGAUCAUUCCCUAGGGAACUUUAUUACGUUGAUUAUUCUAUUCUGGUUCGGCUUUCUAAACCAUCUUAAAUUUGAAUAUUAGAAUAAUAGUUUGAUGUAAAAAAAAUAUGAUAACACAAAUUAUUUAUUUUAUAAUUAUCAUAUGCUAGAUACAAAGAUAUAAAAUUUUAAACUAUUUCAUAAUUUUUUAUUGUGAUAUCAACUAUUUCACGAUCUUAGGAUACUAAUUUAAUUUUUGUUUUGUUGAUAGAUAUCAGCUAUAUGUCGGGAAACAAUUACAUUGUAGGUCACUUUCUUACUUUAAAAUAACUGUCUAAGACACUUAUUGCUACCAACACAUUUUUUCUAUGCAAAAGACGAGAAUAACCUUAGAACCUAAUCAAAGUAAUUGUUACCUCCUCUUUCCUUUCGUCAAGCCGUACCAUCUCUGUUUCCAUCUCUGUUUCCAUCUCUUUUUCUUUCCUCUUUCUCUCUCUCCUUAACUCUUCAAUUUCUUGCCGUAAUCGCUCUUCAAUUUCUUGCCGUAAUCGCUUGUUCUCCUCCUCUGCUAAUCUUGACGUCUCUUUACUCGAAUCCUCUAUCUGAGAUUUGAGCAACAUGACAACAGAAACAGAUUCCCUGAGUAGGUUGACCUACGCCUGUGGGAAGUAAACGUCGUAAGAUGGCCGGUGUUGGAAACGAGUUGACUCGGCAGAAACUGAUUCAAUCACUCCUCAAUCUCUGUAACUCGAUUCGCGAUGGUGUCGAGCAUAUUCUUUGGUGGAACAUGUUCUAUUUUUUUAAUUUCAUUUAGCUCUUGUACACUUGAUCCUUCUUCUUUCCUUAUUUUCUAGUCAUGUAUGCCUUCUAAAAUGUUUGUGUUCAUGAAGGUGGGAUAUGUCUUUGUGCGAUAAUGUUACUUAUAUUUUUUUGCAAAUCUAUCUUUCACCAUAUAAAUUGAUAGAUUGUAAUCUCUAACAUUUAAACAUGAAGCUUAUUGAGGAUAUACUACAA